GGCGAACGCUGGCGUCGUGCUUAACACAUGCAAGUCGAACGGAAAGGCCCUGCUUUUGUGGGGUGCUCGAGUGGCGAACGGGUGAGUAACACGUGAGUAACCUGCCCUUGACUUUGGGAUAACUUCAGGAAACUGGGGCUAAUACCGGAUAGGAGCUCCUGCUGCAUGGUGGGGGUUGGAAAGUUUCGGCGGUUGGGGAUGGACUCGCGGCUUAUCAGCUUGUUGGUGGGGUAGUGGCUUACCAAGGCUUUGACGGGUAGCCGGCCUGAGAGGGUGACCGGCCACAUUGGGACUGAGAUACGGCCCAGACUCCUACGGGAGGCAGCAGUGGGGAAUAUUGCACAAUGGGCGGAAGCCUGAUGCAGCAACGCCGCGUGCGGGAUGACGGCCUUCGGGUUGUAAACCGCUUUCGCCUGUGACGAAGCGUGAGUGACGGUAAUGGGUAAAGAAGCACCGGCUAACUACGUG
rnacentral:rRNA from 1 species